GGAUAAAUAAAUAGGGGAUUAAUUAAUAGGGAGUAGCUUAGGUAGUUCAUAUUAUCGAGUUUCUGGCAGUACGAUAGCUGUUGACUGUUGUGUUUCUGCGGUGUCUGCGUCUGUUCAGGUGGAUUUCUUACAAAGGAUAGGGGGAGGGAAUGUGGAGGACGCGGUUCGGAGAGCACUAGUCCGACUGGUCACUAAUGAAGUGGCCACAAACUUCAGCUGGGAAGGCAGGAAAGGGAAGAGGGCCUUAAACAGCCUUCUGAUUAUUAAAACCCUGGAGAAAGUUGUUGCUGCGUCGCAUACAGACUUUACCAGCAAACUGUUUGAAAUACGGGUGAAGGAGUGGUUCCGGCAGUCUGGAACCAGAAUUUUUAAUCUAAAAAAAUCUGCAAAAAAUAAUACGUUUCACUGAAUUUAUUAUUUAAAUAAAUAUGUAUUUUCAAGCUGUA